GUGGCUGUAGCUCAGUGGUAGAGCACUUGCCUGGCGUGUGUGAGGCACUGGGUUCAAUCCUCAGCACCACA
rfam:Ictidomys tridecemlineatus contig052899, whole genome shotgun sequence.